ensembl:lncRNA
AUGCACCAGGAACAUCUAAGGGGAACAUCUGAAGGAACACCUGUGCAGCCCCCGAGAGAGCCGGCCGGCGGUGUGCCGCUCCCCUGCGGAAGUGGGGGAAGUGGGGAAAGUGGCCAGGGGGAACCGCCCUUCCACGGAGGUGGAAGGACGGCAGCCAACCCGGGGAGGGCCGAGCAGACGAAAGAACAGCGCAGGGUCCUGUGUCGUUCCUCCACGAAGAGGGGGAGCGACAGGAGGGAGAUGCUGGCUGACCUGGCCCAGAAACACAGGAGUUGCAGAGACUGUGUCUCAUACUCAAGACUCCAACCACAGCUCAAAAUGAGGACAGCAAGCUGCUGGCAAGUAGUAACUAAUAAAAACCAGUGUAAAACACCUUGCACAGAGGGGAUGCCGGGUUAAUCACCAUCAACCCAAAGUUAAAAUAUAUUGGCUGUAAUAUUGAUUUAAGAGAGUAAGGGAGGUGUUGCAUUACUACCAUUUUUUGAAAAUCACACUCAACUUCUCUUCAAUGUAUUUUGGCCACAGCUUGCAAUAUUAGGUGCUAGAGAAGUUUAUAUUUGUUACUUAUUGAAAAAUGUGGUCUCUCGGUCAUAUUGAAAAUAUAAAGUCUAUGAGAACAAAGAUGAUGGAUGGAACAGCAGGUUCCUUGACUCUACUAGCGUCAUGUGCUCCAGCUCAGCAAAGGGAAAUGAUAGCAAUUUAUUCAACUACUGAGAAGAAACUAUGGGUAUGGGAGCAGCAACAUGGGCACACCAAAUGAAGCUUUCGCCACCCUGUAAUCCACUAUCCAUCUUCACUCUGUGGAAAUGCACCAUGCUAUUAACCAUGUGAGAGCUGUGUUUAAGAGGAAAUUGACAGCAACACAUCAUAUCCUGAAAAAUUGAGAGCUACAACACUUCCAAGCACCAUGUUUCCAUUAGAAAUAGCCACAGGGUACCUCUUCCUGAUACUACUUAGGCUUUAUUCUUUACCCAACAAUGAUACAGCAUUUUUUAGUUGAUAGACAAGAGACUUCCUUUACCAAUGUGUUCACUACUCAGGAUGCUGUGGCAUAAUACCAGUAGGAGUUAUUCAAAGCAUUUAGAAAUAUAUAUAGAAUGCUUAGGAAUUUUCAAAUUUCCCACAAAUACACACUUGCUCAAUCCAAUAUGCUCAAUAUUUCUUAAGCUCUUACAAGGAGUCAGUAACUUAAGCCUCACACAUAAAAAUACAACAACAAUAAUGGCAGCAUUAUUAUCUCCAUCCAACAAAUGAGGAAAAGUAAAGUAGGCAUGCUAAGUAACAUGCUAAGGUCACUAGAUGACAGAUUAAAGAUUAGCAAGCAACAACACACAGAAAGAUUUGUCAGGGUAAAGGUCAGUUACUGGGCAACACUCAAUUAUCAGUUGUAAUGAAUAUAUAAAGGGCAAAUUUAAAACCUCCAUCAACCCAGAAACUUCUGUGCUAUCAACUGUUUCAACCACUCCACCCCCAUCAGACAUUUGAAGUUAAACCACUAAUUUUAACUUCUAUUUUCCCUCUUCUUUUUUUCUAUUGGAAAUACAAGUGAAUAAAGAAGUUAAUCUGAUAACCA